rnacentral:rRNA from 1 species
CAUGCAAGUCGAACGGAAAUUUGUGCUUCGGUGCAGAUUUUAGUGGCAAACGGGUGAGUAAAGUAUAAGAAUCUGCCCUUUUGAGGGGGAUAGCCACGGGAAACUGUGAGUAAUACCCCAUAAGCGCGAAAGAGGAAAUGUAGUAAUACGCUGAAGGAGGAGCUUAUAUCGGAUUAGAUUGUUGGUAGGGUAAUGGCCUACCAAGUCAGUGAUCCGUAGCUGGUCUGAGAGGAUGGCCAGCCACACUGGGACUGAGAUACGGCCCAGACUUCUACGGAAGGCAGCAGUGAGGAAUUUUGGACAAUGGGGGCAACCCUGAUCCAGCGAUGUCGCGUGGGUGAUGAAGGCCAAUCGGUUGUAAAGCCCUUUCAUCUGUGAAGAUAAUGACGGUAACAGAAGAAGAAGCUCCGGCUAACUUCGUGCCAGCAGCCGCGGUGAGACGAAGGGAGCAAGCGUUGCUCGGAAUAACUGGGCGUAAAGGGUGCGUAGGCGGUCAUUUAAGUGAUGUGUUAAAGACUUGGACUCGAUCUAGGAAAUGCAUUGCAUACUGGAUGACUUGAGUGUGGGAGAGGAAA